UAAGUAUAUGAGGUGAUUAAUUGGAGGGCAAAUCAAGUGCCAGCAGCCGCGGUAAUACUUGUUCCAAGAGUGUGUAUGAUGAUUGAUGCAGUUAAAAAGUCCGUAGUUUAUUUUUUAAAAAGGGAGUUGGGAAAAGAGAAUGGACACCCAA
rnacentral:rRNA from 1 species